ensembl:lncRNA
CAAUUUCCUAGGCAACAGGGCCUCCAGACUGCCCCAAGCCGACCUGGCGCCUCCGGAGAAGGCGAGGUGUGGCCUCUAGAAUCGUUUGCAGUGCCCUGGUGCAGCUGAGAGUGGAGUAGAAACAAACCGAGAGUUUAAAACGAUAAGAAAAAGCGAAAUGCUACUUUCGAGUGCUAACGGCCGGAGAAACUCCCCCACAGUGGAGUUGUGUCACGGGAGCUGAGAAGUGCUGUCAGCGGGAGAGGGCAGAGAGAAGGGAAGAUGAAGCCAGAAUAGUUGGAGCAGGUUGCCGUUUCCUUCUCUAGAGGAUCUUUUCAACCCACGGAUUGAAACCUCAUCUCCAGUAUUGGCAGGGCUCAGCCAGUCCUGGGAAGGCUGGGAGGCAUGGCUCUCUCCACUUCUACCUGGCAACUCCUGGACCAGAGUGUCAUGGAGGACUAAACUUCCCUGGUGACUCUCUGCAUCUUCCCCCAGCUCCUGGCAAGCAGUCAAUACUUUGGAAAGAAAUUCUACUCCUAUUUACCAAGAGAAACUUAUCCAAACAUUUACCCAAGAGAAAUGAAAGCACAAGUCCUCACACCAUUUGUAGGUGAGUGUUUAUAGCAGC